rnacentral:rRNA from 1 species
GACGAACGCUGGCGGCGUGCUUAACACAUGCAAGUCGAACGGAAAGGCCCCUUUGGGGGUCCUCGAGUGGCGAACGGGUGCGUAACACGUGAGUAACCUGCCCUUGACUUCGGGAUAACUUCAGGAAACUGGGGCUAAUACCGGAUAGGAAUCCUUGCUGCAUGGUGGGGGUUGGAAAGCUUCGGCGGUUUUGGAUGGACUCGCGGCUUAUCAGCUUGUUGGUGGGGUAGUGGCUUACCAAGGCUUUGACGGGUAGCCGGCCUGAGAGGGCGACCGGCCACAUUGGGACUGAGAUACGGCCCAGACUCCUACGGGAGGCAGCAGUGGGGAAUAUUGCACAAUGGGCGGAAGCCUGAUGCAGCAACGCCGCGGGCGGGAUGACGGCCUUCGGGUUGUAAACCGCUUUCAGCAGGGGCGAAGCUUGUGGUGACGGUACCUGCAGAAGAAGCACCGGCUAACUACGUG